GGUUAAGCGACUAAGCGUACACGGUGGAUGCCCUGGCAGUCAGAGGCGAUGAAGGACGUGCUAAUCUGCGAUAAGCGUCGGUAAGGUGAUAUGAACCGUUAUAACCGGCGAUUUCCGAAUGGGGAAACCCAGUGUGAUUCGUCACACUAUCAUUAACUGAAUCCAUAGGUUAAUGAGGCGAACCGGGGGAACUGAAACAUCUAAGUACCCCGAGGAAAAGAAAUCAACCGAGAUUCCCCCAGUAGCGGCGAGCGAACGGGGAGCAGCCCAGAGCCUGAAUCAGUGUGUGUGUUAGUGGAAGCGUCUGGAAAGGCGCGCGAUACAGGGUGACAGCCCCGUACACAAAAAUGCACAUGCUGUGAGCUCGAUGAGUAGGGCGGGACACGUGGUAUCCUGUCUGAAUAUGGGGGGACCAUCCUCCAAGGCUAAAUACUCCUGACUGACCGAUAGUGAACCAGUACCGUGAGGGAAAGGCGAAAAGAACCCCGGCGAGGGGAGUGAAAAAGAACCUGAAACCGUGUACGUACAAGCAGUGGGAGCACGCUUAGGCGUGUGACUGCGUACCUUUUGUAUAAUGGGUCAGCGACUUAUAUUCUGUAGCAAGGUUAACCGAAUAGGGGAGCCGAAGGGAAACCGAGUCUUAACUGGGCGUUAAGUUGCAGGGUAUAGACCCGAAACCCGGUGAUCUAGCCAUGGGCAGGUUGAAGGUUGGGUAACACUAACUGGAGGACCGAACCGACUAAUGUUGAAAAAUUAGCGGAUGACUUGUGGCUGGGGGUGAAAGGCCAAUCAAACCGGGAGAUAGCUGGUUCUCCCCGAAAGCUAUUUAGGUAGCGCCUCGUGAAUUCAUCUCCGGGGGUAGAGCACUGUUUCGGCAAGGGGGUCAUCCCGACUUACCAACCCGAUGCAAACUGCGAAUACCGGAGAAUGUUAUCACGGGAGACACACGGCGGGUGCUAACGUCCGUCGUGAAGAGGGAAACAACCCAGACCGCCAGCUAAGGUCCCAAAGUCAUGGUUAAGUGGGAAACGAUGUGGGAAGGCCCAGACAGCCAGGAUGUUGGCUUAGAAGCAGCCAUCAUUUAAAGAAAGCGUAAUAGCUCACUGGUCGAGUCGGCCUGCGCGGAAGAUGUAACGGGGCUAAACCAUGCACCGAAGCUGCGGCAGCGACGCUUAUGCGUUGUUGGGUAGGGGAGCGUUCUGUAAGCCUGCGAAGGUGUGCUGUGAGGCAUGCUGGAGGUAUCAGAAGUGCGAAUGCUGACAUAAGUAACGAUAAAGCGGGUGAAAAGCCCGCUCGCCGGAAGACCAAGGGUUCCUGUCCAACGUUAAUCGGGGCAGGGUGAGUCGACCCCUAAGGCGAGGCCGAAAGGCGUAGUCGAUGGGAAACAGGUUAAUAUUCCUGUACUUGGUGUUACUGCGAAGGGGGGACGGAGAAGGCUAUGUUGGCCGGGCGACGGUUGUCCCGGUUUAAGCGUGUAGGCUGGUUUUCCAGGCAAAUCCGGAAAAUCAAGGCUGAGGCGUGAUGACGAGGCACUACGGUGCUGAAGCAACAAAUGCCCUGCUUCCAGGAAAAGCCUCUAAGCAUCAGGUAACAUCAAAUCGUACCCCAAACCGACACAGGUGGUCAGGUAGAGAAUACCAAGGCGCUUGAGAGAACUCGGGUGAAGGAACUAGGCAAAAUGGUGCCGUAACUUCGGGAGAAGGCACGCUGAUAUGUAGGUGAAGUCCCUCGCGGAUGGAGCUGAAAUCAGUCGAAGAUACCAGCUGGCUGCAACUGUUUAUUAAAAACACAGCACUGUGCAAACACGAAAGUGGACGUAUACGGUGUGACGCCUGCCCGGUGCCGGAAGGUUAAUUGAUGGGGUCAGCGCAAGCGAAGCUCUUGAUCGAAGCCCCGGUAAACGGCGGCCGUAACUAUAACGGUCCUAAGGUAGCGAAAUUCCUUGUCGGGUAAGUUCCGACCUGCACGAAUGGCGUAAUGAUGGCCAGGCUGUCUCCACCCGAGACUCAGUGAAAUUGAACUCGCUGUGAAGAUGCAGUGUACCCGCGGCAAGACGGAAAGACCCCGUGAACCUUUACUAUAGCUUGACACUGAACAUUGAGCCUUGAUGUGUAGGAUAGGUGGGAGGCUUUGAAGUGUGGACGCCAGUCUGCAUGGAGCCGACCUUGAAAUACCACCCUUUAAUGUUUGAUGUUCUAACGU
rnacentral:rRNA from 1 species